rnacentral:snoRNA from 1 species
UUAAAAUGAUGAGAUAAUUACCGCCCCAGUCUGACAGUUGUGAUGAGUGGUGCUACUUUG